CCUACGAGAGGCAGCAGUGGGUAAUAUUGGACAAUGGGGGGAACCCUGCUCCCGCGACGCCGCGUGAGUGAAGAAGUAUUUCGGUAUGUAAAGCUCUAUCAGCAGGGAAGAAAGAAAUGACGGUACCUGACUAAGAAGCCCCGGCUAACUACGUGCCAGCAGCCGCGGUAAUACGUAGGGGGCAAGCGUUAUCCGGAUUUACUGGGUGUAAAGGGAGCGUAGACGGCGAUGCAAGUCUGAAGUGAAAGGCGGGGGCCCAACCUCCGGACUGCUUUGGAAACUGUAUGGCUGGAGUGCAGGAGAGGUAAGUGGAAGUCUUAGUGUAGCGGUGAAAUGCGUAGAUAUUAGGAGGAACACCAGUGGCGAAGGCGGCUUACUGGACUGUAACUGACGUUGAGGCUCGAAAGCGUGGGGAGCAAACAGGAUUAGAUACCCUUGUAGUC
rnacentral:rRNA from 1 species